GCUGAAGCUUUCUAGGGGAGUGCUGGAAACCUGUGCCCAUCUAGGACCUGAACUCUGCUGCCACUUGGGUCACAUCACUGCCUUCAUUAUAACAGCAGGUGCCUGGUGUGGCAGCUGCCUUGUCCUGCCGCGGUGCCAGCCGCAGAGCUGAGCGCUCCUUCCCGUGCUGCGCCAGGGGCUGCACUGCCUCCUUUCAACCCAGUGCCACUCUCGGCCACCAGGCAUAGGCUCACCAACCUUCCUUCCAAGAGCUGAGCUGCAGCCACUUGAGAUGACCUGCCAGGAAGUUUU